rnacentral:rRNA from 1 species
GAUGAACGCUGGCGGCGUGCCUAAUACAUGCAAGUCGAGCGAACAGACGAGGAGCUUGCUCCUCUGACGUUAGCGGCGGACGGGUGAGUAACAUGUGGAUAACCUACCUAUAAGACUGGGAUAACUUCGGGAAACCGGAGCUAAUACCGGAUAAUAUAUUGAACCGCAUGGUUCAAUAGUGAAAGACGGUUUUGCUGUCACUUAUAGAUGGAUCCGCACCGCAUUAGCUAGUUGGUAAGGUAACGGCUUACCAAGGCGACGAUGCGUAGCCGACCUGAGAGGGGGAUCGGCCACACUGGAACUGAGACACGGUCCAGACUCCUACGGGAGGCAGCAGUAGGGAAUCUUCCGCAAUGGGCGAAAGCCUGACGGAGCAACGCCGCGUGAGUGAUGAAGGUCUUCGGAUCGUAAAGCUCUGUUAUUAGGGAAGAACAAAUGUGUAAGUAACUAUGCACGUCUUGACGGUACCUGAUCAGAAAGCCACGGCUAACUACGUG